UUUAUUUAGAGAUGUCAUGAUUGUAUAUAUAGAAAAUCCCAAGGAAUCUACAAAAAAGCUAUUAGAAAGAUCUCAGGAUAAUAAUGUACAAAAAAAUCGUAAUACAUUGUGGUAGUUUUCAAAUUUCCACAAAUUCUUUGGCACCCUUCUCUUUAAAAGGUGGAUUCUAAUCGCCUUUCCUUGAAUGUGGGCUGGUCAUAACACCUUGCUUCUAAUUAAUAGAACCUGGUGGAAGUGAGCGUGUGUGACGUCUGAGGUGAGGUCACAAUAGGCAUUACUAUUUCUGCCUUGUUCUUUUGGAUGGCUUCGUCUGGAGCCAGGGGUCUUGCCAUGAAGGACAUUCAAGCAGUUCUGAGGAGAGGCCCAAGUGAAGAGGAACCAGUUGCCAGCACCACCCUGUCAGCUAUGUUAGGCCCCUGCCUAUAUAAACAAUUUGAUUAAAAACAUAUAUUUAAAAAUUCAUCAGUACAUGUGAGAUAUGAUGAUUUAUCAUUGAAGAUUUAGGAUGAUGGGCAGAGAAAGGCAAUCUGUUUUGUCUAUUGUCCAAUCAGUGCACGUGAAGAUUUGUUACAGUAUCCAGAAAAGACUAAAAAAGACCAAGCCUGUUAAACAACUCCAUCAAAGAAAAACAAGGAAGCCAUCCAGCUUUGUUCUGGACUCAGCAGCUAAGAUGGCAUGAGCUUCAUCGUAAAGCAUAGUUCUAUGUCAUGUCUACUGGAUGAAUCCAAUGUGGCUGGUCCCUUAAUAAAAUAAGUUGUAACAUAAAUGAGACUGCACAUGUUUUCCUGUUUGGUGCUGAGAACAAAGCUGCCCAGUUAGAGAAAAUAUGAAUCCCACUGUUCCAUUGGCUCCUGUAAAAAUGUUUUGGGGUAUAUAUAAAACUGUCUGUUGCUCUCUUGGAGAUUCAAUUGCUCCAAAAAGCUCUACAUAUUAUCUAUGAAAUCUACUUGUGUAUCUCAUCUGGAAGGAUACAUAUGCAAAUGUUAACAGGAUUAUACGUUUCAUAAGAAAAUCUUCCAUGACCUUCUCCAUCACUACCUCUGGGAUCCAGGACUGUUAACACUACUGGAGAGCAUUGUAUUCCACAGAGAUUUCAAAGCAGUGCACAUAACAUCUGAAUAUUGCAUUUUAUCACAAAGAUGAGGAAGAGGAAGAAUACUGGACUGCUCUGUCUCUUGCUGUCCUUAAAUUUAACACUGAAUCACUAAGGUUUUAUCCAGGAAUAGUACUCAAAGUGCUCAGAUGUUCCUUUAAAUUCAUUUACCUGGGUAACUGCUGA
rnacentral:lncRNA from 1 species